rnacentral:rRNA from 1 species
GCAGCAGUGGGGAAUAUUGCACAAUGGGGGAAACCCUGAUGCAGCAACGCCGCGUGAGUGAUGACGGCCUUCGGGUUGUAAAGCUCUGUCUUCAGGGACGAUAAUGACGGUACCUGAGGAGGAAGCCACGGCUAACUACGUGCCAGCAGCCGCGGUAAUACGUAGGUGGCGAGCGUUGUCCGGAUUUACUGGGCGUAAAGGGAGCGUAGGCGGAUUUUUAAGUGAGAUGUGAAAUACUCGGGCUUAACCUGAGUGCUGCAUUUCAAACUGGAAGUCUAGAGUGCAGGAGAGGAGAAGGGAAUUCCUAGUGUAGCGGUGAAAUGCGUAGAGAUUAGGAAGAACACCAGUGGCGAAGGCGCUUCUCUGGACUGUAACUGACGCUGAGGCUCGAAAGCGUGGGGAGG